rnacentral:rRNA from 1 species
UACGUAGGGGGCAAGCGUUGUCCGGAUUUAUUGGGCGUAAAGCGCGUGUAGGCGGCCACACAGGUCAGCUGUGAAAACUCGAGGCUCAACCUCGAGACGUCGGUUGAAACCGUAUGGCUAGAGUCCGGAAGAGGAGAGUGGAAUUCCCGGUGUAGCGGUGAAAUGCGCAGAUAUCGGGAAGAACACCCGUGGCGAAGGCGGCUCUCUGGGACGGUACUGACGCUGAGACGCGAAAGCGUGGGGAGCGAACAGG